GCGUCCGAGUUGUAAUCUAUAGAAGUGUUUUCCGUGCUGGACCAUGUCCAAGUCCCUUGGAACAGGGUAUCAAAGAGGGUGACAAUCCCGUACUUGACAUGACCACCAGUGCUCUGUGAUACACUUUCUACGAGUCGAGUUGUUUGGGAAUGCAGCUCAAAAUGGGUGGUAAAUUCCAUCUAAAGCUAAAUAUUGGCGAGAGACCGAUAGCGAACAAGUACCGUGAGGGAAAGAUGAAAAGCACUUUGGAAAGAGAGUUAAACAGUACGUGAAAUUGUUGAAAGGGAAACGAUUGAAGUCAGUCGUGUUCAUUGGACUCAGCCGGUUUUCGGUGUAUUUCCUUUGAACGGGUCAACAUCAGUUUUGUCCGGUGGAUAAAGGCAGGAAGAAAGUGGCUCCCUCGGGAGUGUUAUAGCUUUCUGUCACAUACACUGGAGGAGACUGAGGACUGCAGCUCGCCUUUUGGCCGGGGUUCGCCCACGUUCGAGCUUAGGAUGUUGACAUAAUGGCUUUAAACGAC
rnacentral:rRNA from 1 species